GGGUUGUGAGGUUAAGCGACUAAGCGUACACGGUGGAUGCCUCCGCAGUCAGAGGCGAUGAAGGACGUGCUAAUCUGCGAUAAGCGUCGGUAAGGUGAUAUGAACCGUUAUAACCGGCGAUUUCCGAAUGGGGAAACCCAGUGUGUUUCGACACACUAUCAUUAACUGAAUCCAUAGGUUAAUGAGGCGAACCGGGGGAACUGAAACAUCUAAGUACCCCGAGGAAAAGAAAUCAACCGAGAUUCCCCAGUAGCGGCGAGCGAACGGGGAGCAGCCCAGAGCCUGAAUCAGUAUGUGUGUUAGUGGAAGCGUCUGGAAAGGCGCGCGAUACAGGGUGACAGCCCUGUACACAAAAUGCACAUAUUGUGAGCUCGAUGAGUAGGGCGGGACACGUGGUAUCCUGUCUGAAUAUGGGGGGAUAUCCUCCAAGGCUAAAUACUCCUGACUGACCGAUAGUGAACCAGUACCGUGAGGGAAAGGCGAAAAGAACCCCGGCGAGGGGAGUGAAAAAGAACCUGAAACCGUGUACGUACAAGCAGUGGGAGCACGCUUAGGCGUGUGACUGCGUACCUUUUGUAUAAUGGGUCAGCGACUUAUAUUCUGUAGCAAGGUUAACCGAAUAGGGGAGCCGAAGGGAAACCGAGUCUUAACUGGGCGUUAAGUUGCAGGGUAUAGACCCGAAACCCGGUGAUCUAGCCAUGGGCAGGUUGAAGGUUGGGUAACACUAACUGGAGGACCGAACCGACUAAUGUUGAAAAAUUAGCGGAUGACUUGUGGCUGGGGGUGAAAGGCCAAUCAAACCGGGGAGAUAGCUGGUUCUCCCCGAAAGCUAUUUAGGUAGCGCCUCGUGAAUUCAUCUCCGGGGGUAGAGCACUGUUUCGGCAAGGGGGUCAUCCCGACUUACCAACCCGAUGCAAACUGCGAAUACCGGAGAAUGUUAUCACGGGAGACACACGGCGGGUGCUAACGUCCGUCGUGAAGAGGGAAACAACCCAGACCGCCAGCUAAGGUCCCAAAGUCAUGGUUAAGUGGGAAACGAUGUGGGAAGGCCCAGACAGCCAGGAUGUUGGCUUAGAAGCAGCCAUCAUUUAAAGAAAGCGUAAUAGCUCACUGGUCGAGUCGGCCUGCGCGGAAGAUGUAACGGGGCUAAACCAUGCACCGAAGCUGCGGCAGCGACGCUUAUGCGUUGUUGGGUAGGGGAGCGUUCUGUAAGCCUGUGAAGGUGUGCUGUGAGGCAUGCUGGAGGUAUCAGAAGUGCGAAUGCUGACAUAAGUAACGAUAAAGCGGGUGAAAAGCCCGCUCGCCGGAAGACCAAGGGUUCCUGUCCAACGUUAAUCGGGGCAGGGUGAGUCGACCCCUAAGGCGAGGCCGAAAGGCGUAGUCGAUGGGAAACAGGUUAAUAUUCCUGUACUUGGUGUUACUGCGAAGGGGGGACGGAGAAGGCUAUGUUGGCCGGGCGACGGUUGUCCCGGUUUAAGCGUGUAGGCUGGUUUUCCAGGCAAAUCCGGAAAAUCAAGGCUGAGGCGUGAUGACGAGGCACUACGGUGCUGAAGCAACAAAUGCCCUGCUUCCAGGAAAAGCCUCUAAGCAUCAGGUAACAUCAAAUCGUACCCCAAACCGACACAGGUGGUCAGGUAGAGAAUACCAAGGCGCUUGAGAGAACUCGGGUGAAGGAACUAGGCAAAAUGGUCCGUAACUUCGGGAGAAGGCACGCUGAUAUGUAGGUGAGGUCCCUCGCGGAUGGAGCUGAAAUCAGUCGAAGAUACCAGCUGGCUGCAACUGUUUAUUAAAAACACAGCACUGUGCAAACACGAAAGUGGACGUAUACGGUGUGACGCCUGCCCGGUGCCGGAAGGUUAAUUGAUGGGGUUAGCGCAAGCGAAGCUCUUGAUCGAAGCCCCGGUAAACGGCGGCCGUAACUAUAACGGUCCUAAGGUAGCGAAAUUCCUUGUCGGGUAAGUUCCGACCUGCACGAAUGGCGUAAUGAUGGCCAGGCUGUCUCCACCCGAGACUCAGUGAAAUUGAACUCGCUGUGAAGAUGCAGUGUACCCGCGGCAAGACGGAAAGACCCCGUGAACCUUUACUAUAGCUUGACACUGAACAUUGAGCCUUGAUGUGUAGGAUAGGUGGGAGGCUUAGAAGUGUGGACGCCAGUCUGCAUGGAGCCGACCUUGAAAUACCACCCUUUAAUGUUUGAUGUUCUAACGUUGACCCGUAAUCCGGGUUGCGGACAGUGUCUGGUGGGUAGUUUGACUGGGGCGGUCUCCUCCUAAAGAGUAACGGAGGAGCACGAAGGUUGGCUAAUCCUGGUCGGACAUCAGGAGGUUAGUGCAAUGGCAUAAGCCAGCUUGACUGCGAGCGUGACGGCGCGAGCAGGUGCGAAAGCAGGUCAUAGUGAUCCGGUGGUUCUGAAUGGAAGGGCCAUCGCUCAACGGAUAAAAGGUACUCCGGGGAUAACAGGCUGAUACCGCCCAAGAGUUCAUAUCGACGGCGGUGUUUGGCACCUCGAUGUCGGCUCAUCACAUCCUGGGGCUGAAGUAGGUCCCAAGGGUAUGGCUGUUCGCCAUUUAAAGUGGUACGCGAGCUGGGUUUAGAACGUCGUGAGACAGUUCGGUCCCUAUCUGCCGUGGGCGCUGGAGAACUGAGGGGGGCUGCUCCUAGUACGAGAGGACCGGAGUGGACGCAUCACUGGUGUUCGGGUUGUCAUGCCAAUGGCACUGCCCGGUAGCUAAAUGCGGAAGAGAUAAGUGCUGAAAGCAUCUAAGCACGAAACUUGCCCCGAGAUGAGUUCUCCCUGACUCCUUGAGAGUCCUGAAGGAACGUUGAAGACGACGACGUUGAUAGGCCGGGUGUGUAAGCGCAGCGAUGCGUUGAGCUAACCGGUACUAAUGAACCGUGAGGCUUAACCUUACAACGCCGAAGGUGUUU
rnacentral:rRNA from 1 species